rnacentral:rRNA from 1 species
UUGAACGCUGGGCGGCAGGCCUAACACAUGCAAGUCGAACGGUAGCACAGAGAGCUUGCUCUCGGGUGACGAGUGGCGGACGGGUGAGUAAUGUCUGGGAAACUGCCUGAUGGAGGGGGAUAACUACUGGAAACGGUAGCUAAUACCGCAUAACGUCGCAAGACCAAAGAGGGGGACCUUCGGGCCUCUUGCCAUCAGAUGUGCCCAGAUGGGAUUAGCUAGUAGGUGGGGUAAUGGCUCACCUAGGCGACGAUCCCUAGCUGGUCUGAGAGGAUGACCAGCCACACUGGAACUGAGACACGGUCCAGACUCCUACGGGAGGCAGCAGUGGGGAAUAUUGCACAAUGGGCGCAAGCCUGAUGCAGCCAUGCCGCGUGUAUGAAGAAGGCCUUCGGGUUGUAAAGUACUUUCAGCGGGGAGGAAGGUGUUGUGGUUAAUAACCGCAGCAAUUGACGUUACCCGCAGAAGAAGCACCGGCUAACUCCGUGCCAGCAGCCGCGGUAAUACGGAGGGUGCAAGCGUUAAUCGGAAUUACUGGGCGUAAAGCGCACGCAGGCGGUCUGUCAAGUCGGAUGUGAAAUCCCCGGGCUCAACCUGGGAACUGCAUUCGAAACUGGCAGGCUAGAGUCUUGUAGAGGGGGGUAGAAUUCCAGUGUAGCGGUGAAAUUGCGUAGAGAUCUGGAGGA